CCUACGGGAGGCAGCAGUGGGGAAUAUUGGACAAUGGGCGCAAGCCUGAUCCAGCAAUGCCGCGUGUGUGAAGAAGGCCUUCGGGUUGUAAAGCACUUUUAUCGGGAGCGAAAUACUACUGGUUAAUAACCGGUGGGGCUGACGGUACCCGAGGAAUAAGCACCGGCUAACUUCGUGCCAGCAGCCGCGGUAAU
rnacentral:rRNA from 1 species